AUAGCAUUAAUGCACUCAAUCAGUCAAUCGUCCCCGUCAGCAGCAAGACUGAGAGAGAUGGAGUUUAGCCUAGCCUAGCUGCCAGUGUGUAUCUGUGAGCACAUUGUUAUUUCUCACCGGUGUUUUGUGUUGUGUAUCUUGCAGCUUAUAUCCGCUCUAACCAGAUCAUGGGCUGGGGAGAGAAGGCCAUAGAGAUCCGCUCGGUGGAAACAGGCCACCUGGAUGGAGUUUUCAUGCACAAACGAGCACAACGGCUCAAGUUUCUGUGUGAGAGGAAUGACAAGGUCUUCUUUGCGUCUGUGCGUUCUGGAGGCUCGAGUCAGGUGUACUUCAUGACGCUGGGCCGCACCUCCCUGCUCAGCUGGUAAAGCAGGAGUCUGAGCUGCUGAUGGAGUUUCUCGACGCGAUCCGCUGAGGCCAGGCCACACGAACGGCCCGAGCCCGCUGGAGGACUGACAAACCGGCAAACACACUAACUGAGCCUGCUGCGUGAGGAACGGCUCGAGUAUCUCCAGUAUUAUUGCUAGUCUGUGUAAAUGUCUUUCUCUAGAGUUUAACACAAUCUGACUCCGCUGAGAGGAGCGCUGACAUCCUGCUGUCACAAAUAGUGUUCUGACAAUAGUGAAACACAAAAUGGCUUUGUUAUGUCAUGUUGUUUUUUUAUUUUUAUUUAUGGCUUGUAUUUAUUUCUAGCUUGUUUUUUUAUUAGUACUUGUUUUUACUAAGCAGAGUAGUUCCAGUAAU